AUUGAACGCUGGCGGCAGGCCUAACACAUGCAAGUCGAGCGGUAACAGGGGAAGCUUGCUUCUCGCUUACGAGCGGCGGACGGGUGAGUAAUGUAUGGGGAUCUGCCCGCUAGAGGGGGGUAACUACUGGAACCGGUAGCUAAUACAGCAUAAUCUCUUAGGAGCAAAGCAGGGGAACUUCGGUCCGUGCGCUAUCGGAUGAACCCAUAUGGGGUUAGCUAGUAGGGGAGGUAAUGGCUCACCUAGGCGACGAUCCCUAGCUGGUCUGAGAGGAGGAUCAGCCACACUGGGACUGAGACACGGCCCAGACUCCUACGGGAGGCAGCAGUGGGGAAUAUUGCACAAUGGGCGCAAGCCUGAUGCAGCCAUGCCGCGUGUAUGAAGAAGGCCCUAGGGUUGUAAAGUACUUUCAGUCGGGAGGAAGGCGUUGAUGCUAAUAUCAUCAGCGAUUGACGUUACCGACAGAAGAAGCACCGGCUAACUCCGUGCCAGCCGCCGCCGUAAGAC
rnacentral:rRNA from 1 species